CCUACGGGUGGCAGCAGUGAGGAAUAUUGGUCAAUGGACGAGAGUCUGAACCAGCCAAGUAGCGUGAAGGAUGAAUGCUCUAUGGGUUGUAAACUUCUUUUAUAUGGGAAUAAAAUGUUCCACGUGUGGGAUUUUGUAUGUACCAUAUGAAUAAGGAUCGGCUAACUCCGUGCCAGCAGCCGCGGUAAUACGGAGGAUCCGAGCGUUAUCCGGAUUUAUUGGGUUUAAAGGGUGCGUAGGUGGAUAGUUAAGUCAGUUGUGAAAGUUUGCGGCUCAACCGUAAAAUUGCAGUUGAAACUGGCUGUCUUGAGUACAGUAGAGGUGGGCGGAAUUCGUGGUGUAGCGGUGAAAUGCUUAGAUAUCACGAAGAACUCCGAUUGCGAAGGCAGCUCACUGGACUGCAACUGACACUGAGGCACGAAAGUGUGGGGAUCAAACAGGAUUAGAUACCCCUGUAGUC
rnacentral:rRNA from 1 species